CUGUUCCUUCGGGGUUGGGUGAUCUGCCAUCCGGCGGCAAGUCCCAAUCGGCGGUGCAGCUGUCAUAUGACAGAGGAGUCCGCGAUCCCGCCCUUUGUUCGCAAAUAGCGGGAACGACUGCGGUUAGAUCCCGCGACCGACCGUAUAGUCGGGAUGAAAGAAGGAGGGA
rnacentral:ncRNA from 2 species